rnacentral:rRNA from 1 species
CCUACGGGAGGCAGCAGUGAGGAAUAUUGGUCAAUGGACGCGAGUCUGAACCAGCCAAGUAGCGUGAAGGAUGACUGCCCUAGGGGUUGUAAACUUCUUUUAUAUGGGAAUAAAACGUUCCACGUGUGGGGUUUUGUAUGUACCUUAUGAAUAAGGAGCGGCUAACUCCGUGCCAGCAGCCGCGGUAAUACGGAGGAUUCGAGCGUUUUCCGGAUUUAUUGGGUUUAAAGGGAGCGUAGGUGGAUUGUUAAGUCAGUUGUGAAAGUCUGCGGCUCAACCGUAAAAUUGCAGUUGAAACUGGCAGUCUUGAGUACAGUAGAGGUGAGCGGAAUUCGUGGUGUAGCGGUGAAAUGCUUAGAUAUAACGAAGAACUCCGAUUGCGAAGGCAGCUCACUGGACUGCAACUGACACUGAGGCUCGAAAGUGUGGGGAUCAAACAGGAUUAGAUACCCGGGUAGUC